CGAUUCUCUAGCUCCUCGUUGCGCCACGUCGCCCGAAAAAUCACUGGCCGUUGAAUCGACCGAUCGAACGGCCCGGGAAGGAUCGGGUGGGUGCCCUUCCUGGAGAGGGGCCCGCAUAGCCACCGCCGCCGCCUCCUUCCCCGCGCGGGCGGCGCGGCUCCAGCACGGGCGAGGUCUACCCGAGCGGCGCGGCCCUGGCGCGGCGGCGCGAUCUCGUCGCGGGCGAGGCUCUCCUCUUUCAUCCCUUACGGAGGGGAGCAGAGGCGUGGCGGAGCAGACAACAGGGGCGGCGGCGCGAACCUUCGCGAGUCGGAGCGGAGAGCAGCCGUAUUCUCUUCCUUCCCCACGCCCGGCAACCCUUUCCCACGCCAUGCGCUACCUUCGGAUUGCCCUCUCCCGCUCCGAUGUGGACCCGUCGGCCGCCUCUGUAGUGGCCGUCAGCCGUCUUGCCGGCACCACCGCACUCUCCGCCAGCUGAAGCUCCACAGAAGGCGGCUUCCCCACUCCCCAUGCCGCGUGGUGGCCUGCUCCGCGCCAUGGCCGCGAACAUCUGACCAGGGAGCACCAUCGCGCGAAGCCAGAACAGAAUUUCUCAGAGGUGAGCCAUGCGGCACUGCGGUGGGCACCGGCCAACCUGCUCCACGCCGGCAACCAGCUGCUGCUGUUGUUGCAAAGCGAGGCCAUCCUUUAGGAAGCCAUCGGCUCCACAAGCAGACAUUAUCAAAUUCUUGAGUUAGAGAAUCUAGAUCAGAGGCCAUACAAAGCCUUCAGCAUGUCGAGGUUACCCAACAUGUGCAGAUUUAUGGGGUGUGGGUAUUUUCCCCCCUCUCCAUAUGUUUCCUGUUGUCAAAUUUUCUUAGCUCCAAGUUAUACAUGGUUUAUUGUCUCCUCAUUACCCAGAGUCUCACAAUAUAAAUAGCUUGGUUUAUGAAGUGAAAUCAGAUUUUCAAUCUGCAAUCACAUUUUACCAACAAGCAAGAUUUGCUUUAUGCAUACUAUCAAAUUCCAAUCUAGAAAAUAGAAAUGAUUUUACAGAAGUCCAAAAACUACAGAAACAACUAAUUUGCAAAACUGAGAUCUUACCAUUCUAAAUAUAUUUAGGGAAGUUACCUCUGAAAAGAUAAUUUCAAUUAGUUAUUUCUGUUGCAACCAAUGAGCUUGAAGCAUAACCUUUGGAACUUGAUACUUUGUAUUGCGACUCAGCAAUUGCCAUAGAUCUCAUUUGGAUUUAACUGCUAUACACCAGUGACAUUGGUGCAUUGCUUUUUGCAGGUGAUGCAGGCAUUGCAGGGAGACUUUCAUUUCCGUUCCUGUAAGUUCUAAUAAGCAUGGUUAAUAAAUUUUAUGCCAUUUGCAACACCAGUUCACUUACUUUAGUGCGUGGAGUAUUUUGAACUGCAACCAUUAAGGGUAAAGUUUGUGGAGUAUUUUUCACAACAAGUGAAGUGGGAGCUGUUGUCUCUGUCAACUUGAGUGCUGUCAUUGUUUUUUGUGUUUUUAAGAGUUCAGACUAUGUGUUACAAUGUGCAAUCAUGAGGUACAUUCUCUUAAGAAACUGCUCAGUUUAAGCAUGCUUCCCACUUACACCAUUCAAGAGUAUGGUGAUGUCUCAUUAAUCAUUCGGAAUCAUAGAAAUGAGACACAUAGUUACCUUAUGCAUGCAUCCAAUUUUAGAAAAGAGGGCGAUGA